GACGAACGCUGGCGGCGCGCCUAACACAUGCAAGUCGAACGGAGCUGAGAGGAGCUUGCUUUUCUUAGCUUAGUGGCGAACGGGUGAGUAACGCGUGAGUAACCUGCCCUGGAGUGGGGGACAACAGUUGGAAACGACUGCUAAUACCGCAUAAGCCCACGGAUCCGCAUGGAUCUGCGGGAAAAGGAUUUAUUCGCUUCAGGAUGGACUCGCGUCCAAUUAGCUAGUUGGUGAGGUAACGGCCCACCAAGGCGACGAUUGGUAGCCGGACUGAGAGGUUGAACGGCCACAUUGGGACUGAGACACGGCCCAGACUCCUACGGGAGGCAGCAGUGGGGGAUAUUGCACAAUGGGGGAAACCCUGAUGCAGCGACGCCGCGUGGAGGAAGAAGGUUUUCGGAUUGUAAACUCCUGUCGUUAGGGACGAUAAUGACGGUACCUAACAAGAAAGCACCGGCUA
rnacentral:rRNA from 1 species